UGGUUCUCAUCUUAGUGCCCAGGCAGCCUGGACUUCAGUUGCUUUACAUUUGUAGAUUUCUAAAAUGUUUCCAAUGGAACUGUAGAUUACUCUAUAGGGAGUAUAAGCCUGUAAACAUCAUGUAUCCUAGCUACACAUGAACUUGGUAGGCUGCGUAUACAUCUUACGUAAACCACUUACAUUAAAGUAGGAUGAGGGCAUUAAAUCAAAUUCUUGAGAAUGAAGCCGUUGGAGAGUUCACAUUUCUUAAAGAGUGCAAGUAAACGAUCUUGAAUGCUCCCAUACCAGACAGCAUGAAGAAGCUUACUAGUUUCAGCUGCUGAAGUACACACCCCUAUCCCAAUCUUUUAAGCUUUGGUUGACAACACAAGUGACUCCUCUGGUAAGCAGUGUCCACUUUUAAUACAGUUUGGAAGCCAGCACUAUGAUGGUCAGCAGUAAUGACUCAAUAGGUGACUUGGGCCAUGAGCAAGAUAUUCUACAUGCAAGACAAUUAUGUUAUUUGGCCAGCUCUGAUUUGCUUCCUCACAAGUUGGCUUGCAGCAUAACUGAGGCUGGAAUUAAUGAUGCACGUGACACCGUAGAAACAAUGAUUCCUCCUCUGCUCCCUGCCUCAGAGCCUGGAACGAACCAGGGUGCUCCCACUGACAAAAACAUGGAACAGACCGCAGGGCAGGAGGAUGGAGCGCUGAGGCUGCAGAUGGAGCAGCUGCAGAGGCUGGUGGCUGAGCAGCAGAAAAUCAUUGCUCUUUACAACCCAGGCUUUUCUGUUUCUCCUGGGAUACCUUCCCAUCUAGUAGCCAAGAUGUCACCCCUUCCAUGCUUUCCUGUUACUUCAACUCCUCCCCAGUUGCCAUCAGAAAAUUCUUCACAAGUUGAGAGCUCAGAAUGCUUAAAGACCUCUCUCUCAGCAACGCGACCUGCCCUGCAGAGCAGCUCUCCACCACUGGUGCCAAAUGAGAGUGGUUCAGAAAUCUCAGGAGAGCACCUCCAGCUGUCAGAUUCAGGGAUAAGCACAGAGCCAUUUCUUCAGUGUACUGAGAGCCCCACAAGACAGCUUUCCAGACAUGAUACUCAAGAAGAAAUCAGAAUGGAAAACAAAGAUAACAGUCAAUUAAAAGGAAGCACUUUCCCUGAAACUUUUUCUGCAGUCAAAGAAGAACAAACAGAACAAAUGAAGGAGAUUCCUCUAUCUCCCUUCAGCACAAAGGUAAAGAUGAAGACUGAAAACCUAGGAAACAGGCCAGUCACAGCAGGAAUUGAUGAUAGACAGAAGACGUCUGGAAAAUUUAUUGAACAACUUCAGGUAGACACUCGGCUGAUAGAAAAACAGGAGCAGAAGCAGCAGAGCAAGGCAAAAGUAACACCUCGGAAGAGUUUUCUGAAGCGAAAAGAAUGUACUGUAAGGGUCAAGAAAACUAAACAGAAGCCUUUAAAAGAAGUGAGCAAGCAUUCCAGAAGAACUAAUAUGGAGCACCGGAGUCUUUUCUCCCAGCCUGGACAAAUGGAUGCAGGGAUACUGCAGCCAAGGGAAUGCCUUCAUGUAAAUCUGCAGGUCGGCAGCUCUGUGCAUGUGGGUACGCAUGGAAAAAAAGCAAAUUGUGUUUUAGCUGAGAAGGAAAUUAAGGCUCAGACUGACUGUGAAGUGCAAGUACUUGAGCAAAGUGCAGAAGAAAAAGUAGUGGUUAGGAGAGAUGAAGAUGCUUUUGGCUCACCUCAUAUAAAGUGGACUGAAAUCCUGAGCUCAUGUCCUGAAACAACAACAGAAAUGAACCUACCAUUAGGUGGGGAAAGGGAAACUAAUCACAGGGAUUCUCUAGAGCAAGCUGACAGAACUGAUGGGAGACUUGUGAAGGGUACCCUGCAAAUAGGCCUACAUAGAGCAAAUCAGCUUCUGCAGGGUGAGCUCGCAGAGGAAGAAAAAAGCCCUUUGGAAGUCCUGCAAAAGCAUUCUAUGCUUCAGGAUCUAGAAUCAGAGCACAUCAGGAAAGCAGAGUGGAGUGCAGUCCCUGCAUUCACACAGGGCCAGAAGUAUGUUCAGGUAUGCCCACAAGAACUUGUUUCAGGGAGCCAGAGACCAGAAAGCAAAAGAGAAAUCCAUACUGGUUUUAAGAAGGUCAAUGAUAAGAUCAUAAAAAUUACUUGUAACUCGCUUGAGGCGGUGGAGCAAGGAAGCUCAUCCUUGGUUUUGCAGCAGGAGAGGCAGAGGGAGGGAACAGCUGCCGUGACACGGCGUGUUGAAUCUUCAUCCUGUGAGUCAGGCUGCUUAUCCUCCAACAGUGAUGAUGACCCCAAGUCUCAUUGCACUCAAUAUCCCUCCCAGCAAGGGCCUCAGGGAGCAGAUCAUUCUGACAGACAUUUGGACCUCUCUGAAAAUGAUUAUGCUAGUGAUGAGCCCAGUGAAACUGAACAUAUGUCAGUGAAAAAGUGCAUCAGCUCCUCCUCAAGGAAACAAGAUGUUCAAGCGCUCUCAAGACAGCGAAGUCUCUCUCUCAGCACAAGCAGCAGUGAUUCCAGCACUGGAGCUGUCAAGCUGGAAGGGAGCAAGGCUCACUCUUCUCUUCAGCGUUCUGUAUUUCAUCUCACAAAAGCCAAAAGGAGAGAGGAUGAACCUGAAUCAAAGGCCGGGCAUGUUAAAAGCCGUGAUCUGACAUCCUCAGUAGUGGCUUUUGGUAUUAAAGGAACCCCUGCAGUGAAGCAACCACAGAAUAAAGUGUCUACAAAUGUGCUAGAAGAAACCCAGAACAUCCUUUCCAGAGGGUUAGAAACUGGUGUAUAUCAUGGAGGAACCCUUCCUGGAGUGGAAGAAGAACAGGACAAAGCAAUGCAUUUCUUCAGAGCAAGAAUGGACCAAGUCAAGACUGUCAGGAGCCAGGAGCCGACUCACCCCUUGCAAUACACUAGAGAGCAAACUGACACACUUCGGAAGGAAAAUGUUAUGCAUAGCAAGUUCAAAGGAACAGCUAUAGUCACUGGAGAAAGCGUGAAAUCAGAGGAAAUACAAAUAUUAAAGCAGCAGAUUACGGGUCUGCAGGAGGAGUUCAGGAGAAAUGAGUCCUGCUGGUAUGCAGCCUAUGGCAAGCUAAGAGACCAGGUUGAGAUGCUGACUAGGCAGAACAUGGAGCUUCGAGAUGAGCUCAGAGAUUCAGAACAUAAGAGGCUGAAAGCAGAAAGAAAAACAGGAGCUGUGAAUCUCAUGGACAGAAAAUCAGAGACACUGGUUGCAGAAGCUAUCCUGCGAGAGACAGCAUCUUCGUCCAAACAAGAAGAAAAAGCACAGAGAGAGAAGCACAAGAGCCAUACCACUUCUCAUGUGGGGCCAAAGGCAGCUUUGCAGAAACACUGCUUCCGAGAUAUUAAUAGCAAAGAAAAAAAAAGAAAAAAACGUUGCCACAUGAGUAUCUGGCUGAAGCUGAUGAUAACUUGCACUGCUGUGACCCUCUUGGCACUUCUGAUGAUGGCAAUAAAAAGCUCUGGGCAAAAGGCUGAUCCAUUGAGACUGGUAACAAAAGAACAUCAAGACAAGAAACCAUCUCACUGCUCCCUUGGCAGAAGUACAACACCAACUGGCAGGACAACACCUCACCAGGGAAGAGUGACACCUUUUGAAUCAGAAAAAAUUGUACGUCAACCCUCUCCUACUGGGAGAAGAACAGAUGAGAGGAAAUCACCUGGAGUUGGCUCACAUAUGAGUGUUUCUAAGGGGCAUAAGUCAUCUUUUUACGAAAAAGGCACACCUUCACCCAUUUCAGUUGUCUCAGAAGACAUGCUCCUUUCAAAUAAGCACAGCAAUAACACUUGCAGCUUUGCACUCUGCAGUAACAGCGAGGAAACACAGGAAGAAGAGAUUCUUAAUCUUAAAAAGGCAGGAAAAAUGUUAAAACCUCAGAAUAAAGUGGCUUUUGCAACGAGUCAAAGGAGAAGUGGCAUAACUGCAUAUGAGAACAAAGUACUUACAGGCAGUUCUCCUGCUCUUCUGGAUGCUGAAGCAAAGAUACUGCCUCCAAAAUCAAUAUUGUCUAGAAGGUCAAUGUUAUAUCAAGAAAGAAGGAAAAAUAAGGAUGUGGUGCAGGAAAAAAUAGAGCAUCGUGAUGGAAAGGUUGAAGAGGUGCUCACUGAUGGACGUCGAAUCAUAACUUUCUGCAAUGGUACUAAAAAAGAGAUCAGUGCUGAUAAAAGGAUGACAACAAUUAGCUUUUUCAAUGGAGAUGUAAAGAAGAUCAUGCCAGAUCAGAGAGUGAUUUACUAUUAUGCAGAUGCACAGACAACUCACACUGCUUAUCCAGAAGGCCUAGAGGUGCUGCAGUUCCCUAAUAAUCAGAUAGAAAAACAUUAUCCUGAUGGCACACAAGAAAUUGUGUUCCCAGAUCACACAGUGAAAUGCCUGUAUACUGAUGGAUUCGAGGAAACUUUUUUCCCUGAUGGUACAAUAGUAAAAGUAGAAAAGAACGGAGAUAAACUAGUGGUAUUCAGUAAUGGCCAGAAGGAGCUUCACACUGCACAGUUCAAGAGGAGGGAGUACCCAGAUGGAACUGUGAAGACUGUGUACUGCAAUGGCAGGCAAGAAACCAAGUACUCGUCCGGACAGGUUCGAAUCAAAGACGAAGAGGGCAAUAUCAUCCUAGAUAGGAAGUGAUUCCUCCCUUCAGCAGCUGCACUGUAUGCUGUUCCAAGGGACAUAUUUACCACUGGCUUAUCCCAUUUGAAGAUGUCACUCAGAGUUCAUUCAAGUAGAGGACUCACAGGAACUUCAAUCUUACAUAUUCCUGUAGCAGAAUGCCCUUGGCUUUCCCAUGUGAUACAGUUAAAGCUUGGUGAUAUCAGUCUAAGAAGAAGGUUAAAGACUUCCGAGCAUUGUAGAACAACUCAGGAGAAAAGUGCAGGAAAAACUGUCAGAACAGCAGGUCUGAAAGAGCUUGAUCUUUCUGGAUAAAAGUCUCAGAAUCACAUACAAUUUAGUUGGAAGGGACCACUGGAUGUCACCUGCUCCAAUAUCAUACUCUAAGCACUGCUGCCAACAGUAAGAGUGUCACCAUGCAUGUGCACCAUGUAGCCACCUUCCAGGAGAACUGCUGGGAGUUGCAGCACUCAUUUUGAGGAGUUCUUCUGCAGCAGAAGAGGCACUACGCAAAUGCGCCAUUCAUUUCCAAGCAUUGAAGGCCCAGCCCCCAUAUAAAGCAAAAGGUACUUUGGCUGGAGGAAACCUAACAUGGUCUGAGUCCUGAAGCUGGACACCAAUGGCUUGGCAGAGCACCAUCCUGUUCUCACUUAGACGUUGAGGACACAGGACAUAUUUGGAAUGGGAAUGAAAGUAAUGCUGUCUCAAAUACGUCCUUAUCCAAACGUUCCAUCUGUAAGAACAGAUAAAGACAAAGGAUCUUUGUAUCUAUUGCAUUGGGCAGUCUUGCCUGCCUAGGCAGCUAUGGAGUUUUACUGAUUCAUAGGCAAGUCACCACUGGAACAAGGUGAACAUAUUUGUUUGUUUCCUCCAAAUGGAGAAUUUCAACACUCAGGGGAGUGUUUAAUGUCCAGUACUAAAGGGAAUAAUUUAUUGUAUGGCUUCUGGUUAUCCUUGGUUACCCACAAAACAAAGUGUCACUCUUCUAUAAAUAAUUACACUCAUCCAUAUUCAAGGUUUAUUUUAUCCAAAUCUUCUAGUAAAGGAGAUACCUAGGAUUAUUUCAUAAGCAAAUAAAAUACAUCCCACAAUAUAAAUGCCAAAUACAAAUAUAUUAAUAUCUCUAUAUAUUAAAUAUGUAUAUUUCCCAGAGAAGCUGUGGUUGCCCCAUCCCUGGAGGCUUUCAAGGCCAGGUUGGAUGGGGCGCUGGGCAGACUGAUCUGGUGAAUGGCAACCCUGCCCAUGGCAGAGGGUGUUGGAUCUAGAUGAUCUUUAAGGUCCCCUCCAAGAUAAACCAUUCUAUGGAAGCCUUCUGGGAAUUACAUGCUGCAGUAAUUCUCUAAUGUUUACUCAGAUACCCCAGUGUGAAUUGUUACUAAUUACCUAGAAAGUCCAUGUGCACAGACCUGCACAACAUAUUUGGAGCAUUCAUGAUAUGGAAUGUGGUAGAUACAAUGAAUUUGAGUUACGUGGGUUGAGCAUCACUGAAUGUACAAUCAUACAUGGCACUUCCUCUCUGUUCCUCUUAAAAGCUAAUCAAUGGGAAGCUAUAUGGCUAACUGAUAAGUUCCUAUGGUCUAAGUGCAAGCACUGUUGUUAGACUGUAAUCUUAGAGAUUCCAGUAAGUUUGUAAUAAGAGAAGAAAAAUCUAAUGUUUCAGUCUCAGAGGUCAGAUCUAUACUAAUGUAAACCGACGUACCUUCACUAAAGUCAGUGAGUCUAGGCCCAUUCAAAGUAGCUGACCAUUACUGCUUGUAUGGAAUUAAUCUGUGUUUUUUGUGUUGUUUGUUGUUGUUUUUUGUCUUGCCUGUUUUGGCACCCUUUGAAAGCUGAAGUAUAUUACUGGGACUGUGUGAAUUGCGUAUAAAGACAGGCACAUCUUCCCUGCUUGCAGAAGGUGAGAGAAAUAGGCAGGAAUCCCUGAAGAAAGAAGGAAUACCAGCUGUUUCUGGUUGCCAGUCCUACACAGUUGUAUUAGGUACAUCUCAGGAUACUUGGGUACAGCUUGGGUGCAGUCCCUCUGAGGAGAUAGAUGCUAUGGGAAGCAUUCUCUAACCUCUUACUGCUAAAUAUAGGUGUAAUCUACUAAAUGCAGCCAUCUGGAAAGUGACACUAUUUAAAGCAGUAUAAGAGUCUCUUGCUCUGGAAGGCACUGUGUAAAAUCAGACACUAUCAUGGUUUACAUUGACUGUGCUCAAUUAUCCAUAAACCUCAUUGGCCAUGGUAUGGCAAUAAGGUUUUAAAGGUUCCUGAUGUCCUUUUAAGACUGGAUUACUUGCACUUAAAUGAGAGCUGCUUCUCUUUUGUUUUGUUAGACUACUUCAGAUCUAAGAGCUGAGCUGUCAUAUAUUUUAACGUUGUGAACUGGAAUUACUCUUCCUUCCUAAAGAACUUAUCAUGCUCAAUUCGAAUAGUACUGAUGUCAUCACAGACAAAGAAAAAAACAACACAAAACCUCUUUUGGAGACAUCACAUGCAAUCCCAGACAACCAUACUGAAGAAAGAGGCAAGAUAAGGGGGUGGGGGAGGAGAAUCUGCUAGGUAGGAAGAAACAAAGAAAGCAAAACGAAGGAUGAGAAGCUAUCUACAAAUAAAUCUACAAAUAAACACACUGCAGAAGGAGAUUUGCGUAGGUUAAAGGACAAAGAUGGUGUAAAAUCAAAUAGCUACAAGGUAGCUGCAGUUGAAUAGAGCUGCAUGAAAGUAGGCUGUCAAACCAUGAGAGAGGAAUGACAUUCUGGGGUGCCUGUUGAGAAAGUGCCCUGAGUCACUUUCUGUGACUCAGAAAGUGCCCAGAUAAAUUCUAUGAUUCUGUGACAACCGUCAGACUGAACUCAGUAACCCAGGAUUUCCAGUUUAGUCCCCUGUCCUGCUUAGGCUUUCAGUAAAAUGCUUGUUUCUUGUUAACUUUCUGGGAGGCUUAUUAUGCAAUAUGCAUUCUGGUGGUUGUUUCGUGUGAAAACUAAAUACUUAGGUUCAAUGUAUGCUAUUCGCAGGGGGGUGCCUUUUCAUGCAGGAGGAUUCUGUUCUAGCAGCGGAUGAGCUGAAGGAGAGGCUGUACUGCUUUCAGCCCCAGGCUGUUUGAAACAAUUUUUCAGUGUCCUCCAUUCCCUGUGCUCAUGAAAUCACAAAGACAGUCCUAGGAUUUCUGAAUAUUCAAAAUUAUAACAAGAAUAGUUGCUGCAACUGAUAACAUCAUCAUUUUUUUCUUCAAGAUUUCAAGAAUCAAAACUGUAAGUUGUCAUUUGCCACCUGGUUUUAGAGCUACAAGCUUCUCUUUUUAUAGUUAGGAGGAUAACAGCUAACUGUCAUUUUUUAUAUGAGAGCUGCAAUCCUUGUACAAAAUUCUAGAAACUGAGACUUUGUAAAAAUGCCAAAUAGCGUGAAAGCUAGAGAGAGAUGAGCAUCCAUCAGCUGAGAAUUUCUUUUUUCAGAUAAAAAAAAAAAUACAUGCAACAAACCAACCUUUCCAGAAAGUGUUCUGGUGGCAUGGCUGUUUUUAUAACCCACCCUUCCCAGCAAUGGGUAAGGAGCAGCAGCGUGGAGGUACAGUGUGAGAGGAAAACUGGCUUCUUGUGGGAGCAGAGACCUGGAAGGGCGGUAGGGCCAGAGGGCACUUCAGCAUUCCUGGAGUUACCCAGGUCUGACUCUGCUUGGGCAGACUGAAGAGAGGCUGUCCUUGAAGAGAAAUAAGGAAAACCUGUCCCCAGAAAGAAGCAGCAGGAAGCAAAGAAGUUUUAAGAACCAUCUGUGAUAUUAAAUACUUAUUUUAGCAAACGAGGCACAACUACCACCAGUGCAGCCUGGAAACAAACAUUUCUGUUUGAGAACAGCCAGGCCAGCCUGUUGCUCUCCAGCUCUAAAAGUAGCUACAACCCUCCCCUCAAAUCUGGACAUCAUGUUCCAGUUACCAGAAAUCAGCCUGACACUCCUGACCAUGUCCAAGCAAUUCAGGAGGCUGAACACAAAUUUAUGUGGUCAAUUAGUCAAACAUAACAUUGCAAGACUUCUCGACCUUUCAAAACUGGAAUGAAUUUGCCAAACAGGAAAGUGUAGGAAUGAAGCAGAACAAGUAAUUCAGAAACCCUCUGGGUUUAAUCUGACAAUUCCUUGUACCUUCAGCCUCAUUUCUGAUCUCCUAGCGGAGCAAUUUGUGAGUGUCAGCAGAUUUCCAGGAGUGAGAGCAGAAUCCCGCACGACCUGCUCCAUCACUUCUGCUUUUGUGAAUUAGAAGAAUGGUGUUUUAUCCCCAUUUCAUAUUGAGAAAUGGGUGUCCCCAUGUAUCUCUGAUGAGUGCCUUCUCCAGCUGGGUUAUUAAAUGAAUGUUCACUGCACAAUUGAUGCACCAAAGUAAGGACAUAAGGACAGCUGUAUCAGGUCAGGCCAAGGGUCCCUCUGCCCCACUGUCUGGUUUCUGACUGUGUCAUAGAAAGAGACGUGGGAAGAAAUAAGGUGGAGGCAAGAGAAUGUAAUGCACCUGUUAUGUAUUUUUUCAGUAUGUAGUUGUUUUCAGGUUAGUUUCCUGAAUCUGAUGGAAAGGUGUGGCUCUUCGAUAGCCCUCAGUUGAUCUCAUCUUCAAGCACUAUUGCCUGUCCAGUGAGCUGUCUGUCUGCAUAUUUGUAGCUGAUUGUCCUUUUAAAUUUUUUUUCUUGUAAUACAUAGCAAGUGUAGCUAGCAGAAUUGGUGAUGGGUUUCUCUACCAUCAGCAUUCUCAGGGUAUUAGUGCUGAAAAGCAAAAUGCAGUCCAAUUACUGCUACAUCAUCUUUGUGAAGGGUUCUGCUGUGUAGACAGCUUACAUGUAUUUCACCCAAAGGGCUAUUUCUCCAGUUAGGCUUUUCAUCUACCUACAACAGUCCAUGGGGAAAUGAGAUAAAAAUUGCUACCCUUUUGCUUCCCAGAAGGAUUUUGCAACCUGUUUGGAAAGGUGUCAGUAACUAUACUGAGAGUCCGGACGGGAAACUGAGAUGCUAACCAACUCCCAAACACCACCUCAAAGAGUAAAUCUUUACAUUAAGUUAUCAGCCAAAGUGGGCGUAAUCUGCUGCCUCAGCUAGCUAUUCAAGUAGAUUGUAUUGCAGCAAACGGUGCCUUUUUGGACACUGCUUUACAUGGCAAACAGUCUUCUUAAAAUCUGGGUAAGAAACAGUCACUUCAAGUCAAUUUCCUUGCAGAGUCACUGGUUAUGGACAGCUCUCUACUCAGUUCCCCUUCUACCAGUAGGGGAAUACAUGCAAACAUCACCAGUCCUGAGUAUUGCAGUAAUAUUGUGCUAUUACUGUGCACACGCACACAUAUGCAUACGUAUACAUAUAAAUAUCUGUGUGUAAAAUGUGUAAUAUAUGCAUGAGUAUAUCCAUAUGUGUAUAUCCUGCUGUCUGUGGUAGCACUGCUGCAGCAUUAUACAGGGUGCUGGGUUUCCCCAGCUUGUACCAUUGCCUGUGUUUCGUGGAGGAAGAGGUUUUGCUGACAGUUCCACAGUGCUGGCGGGGAAUGGAGGGCAGAAAUCCUCAAGCCUUUUGUUCCCGCUACAUAAAUUGCCUGAUUUGCCUUUCAUGAAAAGGAAGAUGAGGAGUAAAGCCGUGCUCAUUUAUGCACAAAGUACAAAGACUGCCACCCGGUGCCCUUUGAGGGCAAUGGGAGUCUUUCCAAGUGAACCAAAAUAGCAGGUUUCUUCAGUACUUCUAGUUCAGCCAACAGAGCUAUGAGGAACAAAGAAGAACAAAGGACACCGUGCAUUUUUGGAAUAAUGUGGGAGGAUCUAUGCCGAGGCGCAGACAAUCCCUGUGCUUGUCUGGAAGCACGCUUAGUGAUGUUCCUCAAGUUUGGGGAUUUUCUGCAGCACAGUAAUCCCCAGUGGCAGACCAAGGCCAUGACUCAGCAGAGAGUGCUUUGUGUCAUAACAGCAGUGAUGUGAAAGACAUUGGGAUCAGGCACUGGGAAGAAGCCUCUUCCUUCACGAUUUCAGUAUGUCAGCUCUUCUCUGAAUUCCCCAAGCACAGGAUACUUGGCUAUAAAAUUCACAGUACUAGGAGAUCACGUUUGCACUUCUUCCAGGGAAAAAUAAAAUAUAACAUUCAAUAGUAAUGCAAAAACUGGAGUUGGAUUUAUAUUGAAAACAAACACACCAGGCCUGGGCAAUAAUUUGGGAAGAUUUGAGAUGCUUAAAAUGGCAUCUGCCUUAAGGGAGCACAAUGAGCAUUAGAUCAGAACACAGUGUGAAAACUUGCAUCUAAAUGCAGAUGUGAACUUUGUGACUUGAAUUUUUCUCUGCAGUAAAUCAAUUUUAUUUAAGUAAUGCACUAUUCAGGCACUCAGUGCUCAGUGGAAGGGACGGUGGCAGUGUGCCCUGGGGACAGGCCUUUUUCAGUUGUCUAGAAAAAAUUAUUCUUGCAUAUCUGUUAAAGCAACAGCUCCACCUUAAGCAUGUCAAAGCUCAGUGAUCUGGGAUCUUCUGUGUACUUACUGGCCAUAUUUUUGCUGCAAUGGCUCAUUGGUGACCCUGCACCUUUUGGACUGAGGAGAGGUGUGUACAAGUGGAGCAUCCAAUGCUGAGGUCAGCGUUGUUACUGGAAAACAUCCAGACUGUCUGGACCUGCUGCCAUUCACACGCUGCACUGACAUUUUGCAGCUCCUAAUAUUUUGCUGCCCUGGGCAACCACCUAUUAUGCUUUUUUGUUGCAAAGCCAAUCUUCCAUGGAAACACUUCCAGCCCACCAGCAACUGUGCUUUCAUUAGGUCAUCACAGAGAUGUUAAAACAUGGAUUGCAGAUGCAUGCGUUGAUACAUGAAACAUGAAACAAGUACUGCAUUGCUCUGAGAUUUGUCUGCCAUCAGUCUUGUUUAUGCCAGUGAAAUCUGGCAUAAAUUCCUCUAUAUCACUUGAGAGUUUGUUUAUGCAACAGCAGGUAGAUUCAUCUACCUGAACCCUGAGUUUAAUAAUUGAUCUCUUUCAUGUAGAACAGCACUACAUGCUGCAUAACACAGCACAGUGGCCACCCCAGGCAUUGUCAGCAGCUGCCCAGAAGCUUGGAGUGAGCGUACUGCUUGAACUGCCGCCCUUGGGACACCGGGAACAGGGAGCGAAGCGCACGAGCUGUCACCGCACGGCUGGCAGGGACACAGCAGCAUUGUUUCAUCUGACCGAAAGUCAUGGUCAUGAGCAGUAACGGAAGGAUGACAAAGGCUUGUCCCACUCCUUUGUCACACAGUGUGUGUCCCUUUAAAGCAAUCAUCUGUGACCUCAGUGACUCAACAUGAGGGAUAACAGCAGAAGGGAAAGGAAAUGCCAGAGCAUGACACAAUUGUUUUCCAAGCAAGCAGAUUUUUGGUGGAGAGCCAGGUGCUGGUACCUGGGCUCACAUGUGCGUCGGUGGAGCUGCUUGGGGUUAGGAGCUGUAUGUGAUGCCUGUGUCAUGAGCCAGUCUCUUCUUAUGCAAACUGAGAUAGUCUGUGUUCCUGUGAGAAGGAGUCUGGUGUUCUACUGGUGUGCAGGAUAGAUGGGGAAUCUGGUAUAAUUAAUCUCUCAGCCUACUGUUGCUUUCUUUUGGAUCUAAAGUUUGCUACUUCUAAGGCCUGUUGACUGUAUUCAGUAUCUCUUCCUGUUUAACUUUGUUGUUCCUGCCUCCUGCCUUUUUUUUUUUUAAGGCCAGUCUUUUCAAUUUCCCCUUGAACUAGAGUUUGCCUGAAGUGUGGAUGAGUCACAGAUAACGUAUUUCCUCUUUUCUGAAGCACAUUUACAUUUUUGAGCAAUUACAGCUGACAGCGAUCAGCUAUACAUUCCAAAAUAUCCUUUUCAGGGAAGAAAAGGGAGGAACAGUGAUGCUGAAAUCAGCUUGAAAGGUAAAUGACUGAAAGAGAAAGGGAGAGAAAUAAGAGACAGAGAGUCUUAGAAGGGCACCCGGAUGUAGGCACUUAUUGUGCAGCAUUUGAUGGCAGUGCUUCAACUGAUAAUGUUCCUGUAAUCAGAGCCACUCUGUCAUACCUGUCAGCAGUCGUCAGGCAAAUCACAGGCAGCUCUAAAUACAAAUAUCUGAAGCAAAAGGCAUAAAUAACCAGAAAACCUAUCCAUUGCCUCUGCUUCUAGCCUGACAUUUUCUGAAGAGAGGGAAGGUUAGUUUAUAAUGGGAUGUAAAAGAUGCUGCCAAACUCUGCAUUGCCCCCAUCAAAGCCAUGUAGCUCCAGCUCCAUGUUGAGGCUCUCACCUUAAAGACUACAGUAUUUAUAAUUAAAUAUUAUAAUAAUUGAAGUAAUUAUAAUUAAUGAUAAUUAUUAAUUAUGCUAACUAAUAGUUUAAAGGCCUUUCAUUUUUGUCUUGGAGGUCAACUGAAAAUGGAGCUUCCCAUCUUGUCUUGUGUCCCAGGCUGUUUCCCAGGGCAGGUCUUGUGACUUUGUUUCUCAAGUUUCUGUGGUCUUUUUUCUUCUUAUAGACAUACAGCUGUAGCAAGUAUUCCCUUCAUAAAGAAAUCUCCUACUGAGGCUACUGAGGGCUGAAGCUUACAGGGCAACUCUGUCUUUUCAUCCCCAAAUUGUAAGGCUGUGUGGGGCUUGAUAAAAGAAGUCCUCUGUGUACCAGAGUUAAAGUCAUGCUUGUCAUAUGCAGUCAUCAACACGACAGGCUAAUUCCAGCUGUCUCUUUCCACAUAUCUGAGCACCUUGUAUAAGAGCCCAUCAAGCACUCAUUUGUAAUAGAGAGUAUUUGUGUAACGAUCACUGGUGCCACACAGCAGUCAGCUGGAGCCCCAGAAAGGGUCAUCCUGACCUUCAGUUGUGACUGAAAGAAGAUCAUAUUGCAGUCUGGCUGCACUCAACAAGUUAUUCCAGCAAAUCUUCUGUAGCUUCAGCACAAGGCAGGCGCCAUAGCUGCUCUUUUGAAGAAGUAUAUGUGGGAAGGAGUCUGCUCUAAGCAUCUGCCCAGGCUGAAGAGUGCAACUAGGAAGCUGAAAUCUGCGUAACCAUCCUGCUUCCUGGUUAUUUUCUCAUUCCUGGUGUAUUGCAUCAUCUCCCCUAAUGUUGUCAAUUGUUCUCUCUAUUUCCAAGCUGUGGAUGGGACUGACAGAACAGGAGAGUGCCAGCACUCAGGUGCAUUAUUGCAGAGCCUGGUCUGCUUAAUGAGGGACACUCUGGGAAGGGCAGCACAGCAGCAAAGAGUGAGGUGCUCAUUACCCAUAACAAGUCCCUCUAUAUAGUUGCUUACUUCUCUGAAGAUCUGUGGGUAGAUCUCAGAAUAUUCAGAAAAAAAAUGUGAUAGAAUUGUAAACGGAGUUAUUUAUUGAGCAUUUUUUUUCUUGGUAUAGCUAAAGCCUCAUUUCCUACAUCUGUGUUAGAUGAGACAUUUCACUCCAGUUAUUGAUCUGUUCCUCACUUCCUUGAGCACAGUCACCCUCUAUGAGAUGAAGCCUAGGCAAAGGCCUAGUGUUAGUGAGAAACAAGGCCUAUAAUUGCAUCAGGUGUGAGGCUGGAGGGAGCUGCCAAAGCAUGGUGUAGACUGCAAAAGAAAAGUCUCCCUUUGGAGCUUUUUUUUGUGUUCUCUGGAUAAAUGUCUUUGGAUAGGGCUUCCAAGGCCCAGGCAAAUGCCAAAUGCCUAGGGAUAACACUGAGUAAGAGAGAAAGCCUAGAGCUGCAGGGGUGUGAAUCUGCAAAGGGAUUGCCUAAGGGUGGCAUAAGCUGCAGAAAUUUUCACUUCGAGCUUUUCUUCUGUGGUUUGUAGUUGAGAGUCUUGAGCUAAGGCUCUGCCGAAGUCACUGUUUAGGGCUAGGCUUAGCCUUGGAUAAGAGACAAAACCUAGACCUGCCCUUGGCUGAAUCUGCAAAGUGGAUGCAAAUGGAUGCUGUAGCCUACGUUAAGAAAAUUGUAAUACUAAUAAUAAUAAUAAAAUUCUUCAGAGAGCAUUUUUCCUUCAGGCUCUAGAUAGGAGUCUUGAUCCAAAGCUAUGACACAGCAUUCAGGUACUACAGAAGUUCUAAUGGAAAAAAAAAAGGUCAAGGAGCUUUCUUCAUGUUUACUUUUUCCUACAGACAUAUUACCAGAACUAUGAUUUAAGCAAAAUGGGGAUCAAAAAGGGCAUAGAGAGUGUAAUGAUGGACAAAACAAAAUGGACUGUGAGAGAAGCUGCAGAUGAGAUAUAAAAAAAAUUAUAUUCAUGGAUGAAUUUGUUACUUUGUUGAGUGACUUGAAUUUCUGCUGACAGUUGUACGGGAAAGGAAGCUUGAUGUAGAAAGCUGAAUAUAUACUUAUAUUUUAAAACUAAAUCUGCUACUAAUGCUCACAAAUCCUACUUGGUGCAGAGCAGACUUCAGAUAAAUGAGAUUUUUUCCAUAGCAGAUAGCUGUGGGCUUGAGAGAGGAAAGAGAAAUAAUCAAAGAAUAGUGAAAGAAGACCAUCUUAGCAUCUAAGCUUUGUGUAUGGAUAAGGAUGAGAUACUCAGGGAGAGGUGAGAGGAAGACGUCAGACUUGACAAGAAGCAGGAGGCUUGAGAGACUUGGUCCUAGAAGGACUAGUCAAUGGGAGAUGGGUGGAUCUUUGCUGAAACUAGGGGUAAUGUCUUUCCUACCUAGACUUCCUCCAGAGAUGACAGUUGCAAGGUAGGUGCUGUCAUUACCAAGCUCUGAGAAGACUUACAAAGGGAGGAACACUUAGUAGGGACAUAUCUGCUUGUUGGAUUUUGUAUCGAUAUGCAGGGAAAUGUGCAAACAGAUGACUGCCAAAGAUGACUGGAAUCAGUAGACAGAGCUGCAUGUAUCAACCCUGUAUAUACAUUGUUCAUGCAUUUUCUUAAGAUACUGCUGAGAUCUUUCCAUCUCCCGGUAAUUUUAUUCCUUUAUCAUAUACAGUCCCAGAGCUUGGACUAGGGAGAGCAUCAUCUGUGAAUUCUGCCUGGCCCUGGACAUUUUGUGUGGGCAUUUGAUCCAGUGUCAUUGCUUACCAGAGAGGGGAAAAAAAAAAGGUGCUUUGAACUCAGUCCUAGCUGCUGCUGUUAGUAUUUGGCAGAGGGCUUAUUUAAUAAAUGCCUAAUGAUAGCUUCACUGCAGUUGCAGUCAUUCCCUGACAGUAUUUGAAAUUUUGCUUGGUUUGCUAAAGUGUUAUUUAUUUACAUAGCUAUCUAGUUUAUUGCCAGUAUUUUAUUUAACAUUGGCUGAAUGUGUCAGCCAUGGCAGGGCUAACGAAAAAUAACAGAAAAAUAUCCCAGAAACUGAAGAGAAGCGCCAGCAAGGUAUGUCCUUCCCAAUGGUACUCUGCCCUAAACAUUGUGAGGAAGCGUGGCUGUUGUUUGACCCAGUGAGUACUCCCCUUUUAAGUGCCAUUUGUAAGAGUGCUCAAGUCCAGAGCUGCCUGAGGAACAAGGGGACUCCCUCUGCUGAGCAUGUCAUUUCUUGGACAUUGCUGAAAGCAAUCUGUCCUGUUGCUUUUUUUUCACUUCCCAAUGGUUUGCCCAUUCCCACACAGUUUUGCAGAAAAUCUUAAGAUUAUCUUAAAAGCAGUGACUGUGGUACAGGCAUUAAAGAUCAACUCAGUGCUUUCAGACUUCAAAGCGCCAGAUGUCUGGGUGCUUCUCUGAGCAUGGAUUAGCUAACUCCACCUCUCUGCCCAGACUCUGUGUUAUGACAACUCUUCUUCAGAUGAAAGCUUGAGGAGUCUGACCACUGAAGCUCACUGCUAUAAAAUCUGUUCUGGUGGCAGCAAUAAUGAAAGCACAAGUUCUGCCAGCUUUUCAGCCACCUCUGCUCAUACUCUUGUUCAAGGUGGCUUUUGGUAAUAUAAUAGCAGCAACUGUCUUCUCUACCCUACUUUUUCUUCUUGCCAGUGCUGAAGAUACGGUGGUAGGAAGUUGGAAGAAAAGAAAUUGAAAGUAGGCAAGGGCAGUAAGUUUUUUAACUCCUGGGAGUUAAACCAAGAGAAUCAACUACGAUUUACUGUUGUCAUGCCAGCUGAAGUUGAUAUAAAUCACCGGGGUUACGGAUAGAGCAAAUGUCAUGAGACAAGAAAGAGAUUUAGGACUCUCCUGUUCACAAAAUCUUUGCCAUAACCACUUGUCCAUUGCCUGUGUUGUCUCACUUGCCUUGCUGUAGUGCUAUGAAUACCAAUUAAGUGCUGGAAAGUUAAAGAGAGGACUCUGCUGCUCUGGGGUGAGAGAAGUGGAGUUGAAGCAAAGGCUCAUGCAGUGCCAUACAGCAAGACACAAUGCAGAGAUGCUCACAUCAGCAUUUAGUAAAACCAAAUGUACAGGGGUAAAUGCAGAGAUAUGUGACAGCAUCAACUUUCAGGUACCUGAUUUUCCUGAAUCUGCUGGUACCUUUUGGAGCACUGAUUGUAUUGAGGUGUUAACUUGCAAUCCAGUCAGUUCUUGCUUUUAACUAAGAUUUCGCCUGUAGUGUAAUGAUGUUCUUCAGUUGUUGGCCAGAUAUGUAAUAGGAUGGUUUAUAAAGUAGUCUCAGGAGUGUCCAUUUGGCUUCUUUCAACUAGGCCAAAGAUUUCCCUCGCUGACAUAUGUGUGUGUCUGUAUAUACGAUCCUAAGUGAAUUCCUGGUGGUAAUAUACAUUGAAGGUGAACUUCGACACUAGUGAACAGCAGUGCACUGUUGAACUACAAGAUUUCAAAUUUUUGGAAUAACAUUUGAAGUGUUAAAUUCUAUUUGCAUUCUAUUAUGGAAUAACUUCAAAAUUUUUCAAUGGAAUAGAUCAGAUUUUCACUUCAGGUUGUCACUCAAGAAAUGGCCAGAGUCCACCUCAGAGCUUCAGUUAAAAAAUCCAUCAAAAUUGGUGUAUCUUGGUGAAAUAUUUUGGCUUUGACUUUAUUAGCACUCUUAUGGAAUGGGUUUAACUGAAAAUAUUCCCAUUAGUUUGGUAUCUUUAAGAUGCCUGUUUAAAUUGUGCAAUUCUCAUUUUGAACUUAGAUAUCCUGAUACUCAAAAGGUUUAACACUCCAGAUUAAAAGACUUUUUGAACUUC